rnacentral:rRNA from 1 species
AAGCGGUGGAGCACGUGGUUUAAUUCGAUGCAAACCGAAGAACCUUACCUGGGUUUGACAUGUGCGUGUUACUGAGGUGAAAGCCGAGGGACCAUAUCUUCGGAUGUGGAGCGUACACAGGUGCUGCAUGGCUGUCGACAGCUCGUGUCGUGAGAUGUUGGGUUAAGUCCCGCAACGAGCGCAACCCCUGCAUUCAGUUGCCAACGGUAAGGCCGGGCACUCUGGAUGGACUGCCGGCGACAAGCCGGAGGAAGGUGGGAUGACGUCAAGUCAUCAUGGCCCUUAUGUCCAGGGCGACACACGUGCUACAAUGGCCGGCACAGCGGGAAGCGAGGGGGCGACCUUGAGCGGAUCCCUCAAAGCCGGUCUCAGUUCGGAUUGCAGUCUGCAACUCGACUGCAUGAAGUUGGAAUCGCUAGUAAUCGUGGAUCAGCCAAGCCGCGGUGAAUACGUUCCCGGGCCUU